UUCAAUGCAUCACAGACUAAAUACGCCGAGUCCUUUAGUCUUUCGUCUGUAUGACCCACAUCCUGUGGG
rnacentral:sRNA from 1 species